rnacentral:rRNA from 1 species
GGAUUUAUUGGGCGUAAAGCGAGCGCAGGCGUUCUUUAAGUCUGAUGUGAAAGCCCCUGGCUCAACCAGGGAGGGUCAUUGGAAACUGGAGAACUUGAGUGCAGAAGAGGAAAGUGGAAUUCCAUGUGUAGCGGUGAAAUGUGUAGAUAUAUGGAGGAACACCAGUGGCGAAGGCGACUUUCUGGUCUGUAACUGACGCUGAGGCUCGAAAGCAUGGGGAGCAAACAGGAUUAGAUACCCUGGUAGUCCAUGCCGUAAACGAUGAGUGCUAAGUGUUGGAGGGUUUCCGCCCUUCAGUGCUGCAGCUAACGCAUUAAGCACUCCGCCUGGGGAGUACGACCGCAAGGUUGAAACUCAAAGGAAUUGACGGGGGCCCGCACAAGCGGUGGAGCAUGUGGUUUAAUUCGAAGCAACGCGAAGAACCUUACCAGGUCUUGACAUCCUUUGACCACUCUAGAGAUAGAGCUUUCCCUUCGGGGACAAAGUGACAGGUGGUGCAUGGUUGUCGUCAGCUCGUGUCGUGAGAUGUUGGGUUAAGUCCCGCAACGAGCGCAACCCUUAUUAUUAGUUGCCAGCAUUCAGUUGGGCACUCUAGUGAGACUGCCGGUGAUAAACCGGAGGAAGGUGGGGAUGACGUCAAAUCAUCAUGCCCCUUAUGACCUGGGCUACACACGUGCUACAAUGGAUGGUACAACGAGUCGCAAAACCGCGAGGUUAAGCUAAUCUCUUAAAGCCAUUCUCAGUUCGGAUUGUAGGCUGCAAUUCGCCUACAUGAAGCCGGAAUCGCUAGUAAUCGCGGAUCAGAACGCCGCGGUGAAUACGUUCCCGGGCCUUGUACACACCGCCCGUCACACCACGAGAGUUUGUAACACCCAAAGUCGGUGAGGUAACCUUCGGGAGCCAGCCGCCUAAGGUGGGACAGAU